rnacentral:rRNA from 1 species
UACGUAGGUGGCAAGCGUUGUUCGGAAUUAUUGGGCGUAAAGGGUGCGUAGGCGGCUCUGUAAGUCGGGUGUGAAAUUUCGGAGCUUAACUCCGAAACUGCAUUCGAUACUGCGGUGCUUGAGGACUGGAGAGGAGACUGGAAUUCAUGGUGUAGCAGUGAAAUGCGUAGAGAUCAUGAGGAAGACCAGAGGCGAAGGCGGGUCUCUGGACAGUUCCUGACACUGAGGCACGAAGGCCAGGGGAGCAAACGGG